AAAGCUCCGAGGCUGAUCAAGGCAGGAAAUACCAUCUGGCUUUAAAACACCAAAAAAGCCUCCACUCACCCCGGACUUCUUUCUGUAAACAGUGAAAUUAACAGCAUCCCCGGCUGCCAUGUCAGCCCAGAGCGAGCAUGGGAUGGCUUGUCAUUCUCUUGCUGUCCAUGGUCAGAUCUGAUCUAGACAGAGCCCCUCAGGAGAUUCGGAUUCACUGGCUGUCAUAUGCAGAGACUUAAGUCACCCGGUAACCCUGAGCUGAAAUGGGAGGAAACCCUCCCUCUCAACCUCAACCCUUCCGCAGCCUCUGCAAACCUGAGGGAAGGAUAUAAGUGGUACCCAGAGACUGCAGCAGGGAAACAAGGGUCGCAGCCAGUCCCAACUCUGGAACAUCAGGUCAAUGACAAAGCAAAGUCAGAUUUUCACAUUGCUAUUUCCAGCUAUGGUGUCACUGGCAAUGGCGAUGGUUAGUGUGGUCCGCAGAGAACAAAGUCUUUGGCGAAGAAGAGUCCUCAACCUGGGAAACAGGCAGAGAGCAUCCACCUCCCAGGACACAGGGUCAACACAAGGCCGAGCAGGAAACCUGGAGGGACAAGCUUCCACUUCGUUCCCACAGUUCCUGCCGCUUAGAGAACACAGUCCAGGACGCUACGUGGAUGUGACUCUUGGUUUUGUUUUUGUUUGAGAUAGAAUUUCAUACUAUGUAGACCAGGCUGAUCAAACUCACCAUCUUCCUGCCUCAGCCCCGCAGCUCCCCAUCUCUGGGAUUACAGCUAUAUACCACGACACCUAUCU
rnacentral:lncRNA from 1 species